GUGCUUGAUUUGGCAGCACAUAAACCAAAAUUGGAAUAAUAUAGAGAACAUUAGCAUGGCCCCUGCUCAAGGAUGACAGAUAAAUUUAUGAAAAAAGGAAGGAAAAU